UAAAUCAGUUAUCGUUUAUUUGAUAGUACCUUACUACUUGGAUAACCGUGGUAAUUCUAGAGCUAAUACAUGCUAAAAACCCCAACUUCGGGAGGGGUGUAUUUAUUAGAUAAAAAACCAAUGCCCUCCGGGGCUCUUUGGUGAUUCAUGAUAACUUAACGGAUCGCAUGGCCUUGCGCCGGCGACGGUUCAUUCAAAUUUCUGCCCUAUCAACUUUCGAUGGUAAGGUAUUGGCUUACCAUGGUUUCAACGGGUAACGGGGAAUUAGGGUUCGAUUCCGGAGAGGGAGCCUGAGAAACGGCUACCACAUCCAAGGAAGGCAGCAGGCGCGCAAAUUACCCAAUCCCGACUCGGGGAGGUAGUGACAAUAAAUACUGAUACAGGGCUCUUUUGGGUCUUGUAAUCGGAAUGAGUACAAUUUAAACCCCUUAACGAGGAACAAUUGGAGGGCAAGUCUGGUGCCAGCAGCCGCGGUAAUUCCAGCUCCAAUAGCGUAUAUUAAAGUUGUUGCAGUUAAAAAGCUCGUAGUUGAACCUUGGGCCUGGCUGGCCGGUCCGCCUCACCGCGUGUACUGGUCCGGCCGGGCCUUUCCUUCUGGAGAGCCGCAUGCCCUUCACUGGGUGUGUCGGGGAACCAGGACUUUUACUUUGAAAAAAUUAGAGUGUUCAAAGCAGGCCUUUGCUCGAAUACGUUAGCAUGGAAUAAUAGAAUAGGACGUGCGGUCCUAUUUUGUUGGUUUCUAGGACCGCCGUAAUGAUUAAUAGGGAUAGUCGGGGGCAUCAGUAUUCAAUUGUCAGAGGUGAAAUUCUUGGAUUUAUUGAAGACUAACUACUGCGAAAGCAUUUGCCAAGGAUGUUUUCAUUAAUCAGUGAACGAAAGUUAGGGGAUCGAAGACGAUCAGAUACCGUCGUAGUCUUAACCGUAAACUAUGCCGACUAGGGAUCGGGCGAUGUUUCUAUCUUGGAAGGCU
rnacentral:rRNA from 1 species